CCCAAUGAUGCCGCCCAGCACUGGAGCUUAGAGGGAGCGGGACCAUUCUCAGCAUGAAAAGGAACAUUUGAAGAAAUAUAUUGAGUUAAACCUAUCUCUGCAAUAUAGCUUGCAUCAAGAAAUGAAGAAAAAUGAUGAAUUAGAAAAGGAGAUUAUCAGAAUGAUGAUCUUACAGCAAAAAUGCAACCUGCAUCUUCAAAAUGUAUAAAUAUGUCUGGAUAAAAAAAAAAAUACACUUCAACAGAAGUUAUUAUCAGUGAAAGCAAUUCAAAAGAAAUGUGAAAAACUAAGGA